UACGAAGGGUGCAAGCGUUACUCGGAAUUACUGGGCGUAAAGCGUGCGUAGGUGGUUUGUUAAGUCUGUUGUGAAAGCCCCGGGCUCAACCUGGGAAUGGCAAUGGAUACUGGCAAGCUAGAGUGCGGUAGAGGGUAGUGGAAUUCCCGGUGUAGCGGUGAAAUGCGUAGAGAUCGGGAGGAAGACCGGUGGCGAAGGCGGUCUGCUGGGCAGUUUCUGACACUGAGGCGCGACAGCGUGGGGAGCAAACAGG
rnacentral:rRNA from 1 species